rnacentral:sRNA from 1 species
GAGGUCUCUGUGUAAAGGCAAAGUAUACCCCCACCGGAGGAAUCUGUCUGUGAUCCCAGUUUGAAAACUACUGAUCCGCAUGAUUGUGAACCAAGCAAGGUCAUUUGGACAAAUCUAAACAUUUGCAGGGACAACUACACCCUUCAGAUCAACCCUAAUUCAGGCCUCUGUAAUGAGGAUCAUUUGUCCUAUUUCACUUUUAUUGGAAGAGUUGCUGGUCUGGCCGUAUUUCAUGGGAAGCUCUUAGAUGGUUUCUUCAUUAGACCAUUUUACAAGAUGAUGUUGGGAAAGCAGAUAACCCUGAAUGACAUGGAAUCUGUGGAUAGUGAGUAUUACAACUCUUUGAAAUGGAUCCUGGAGAAUGACCCUACUGAGCUCGACCUCAUGUUCUGCAUAGAUGAAG